GUGGAGCUUGAGAUAGUUUCCAUGGUCUUCAGUAAGUCAGUUGUUUUGGUUAAUGAAUGUGUUCAAUGAGGAUGGUAUCCACAUUGAACUUUGGAACACCCAAGGAAUUUAAUCCUAGUGUGCUGUUGAAUAUCUCUCUGCAUGCACCAGGGUGAGCUGAUGACUAAUUAGUAGCCACACUUCCAGUUAACAUUAUUAAAUCAGCUUUAGCAUGUGUGAGUGAAAAUGGCUGUGAUGAAAUGUUAGUGAAUUUUGCUGUCUGGUUGAAAGGCGAUGCUGUCCCAGUUUGGAAUAAUGUGGUGAGUGUGUGAUGCAUGCAAUACAUGAUUGUGUAAAUUUGUGUCUUCCUCAAACCUGUUGGGGAAACCUGUUUCCGUGGCUGUGUGCUGAACUACAUACUUUGCUCCUGGAAAAGAGGGGACAGGAACAAGUGGAUGUCCUGUAUGUAAGGGGCAGGGGAGCAAUCUUUGCCCUGGAGUCCUCAAACAUCUCUGCCAGUCCAGUUCUCAUGGUUAGUUCCACUGAAAAACGUAACCUCCAGUGUCCCCUGUUGUUCUUGACAUGAAAUUCUCUGUUAAACUUACUUAAUGCCAUUGCAACUUUGACAGGUAUGCUGUUUUAUAUUGUUAUUUGUGCCUGUCAGUAUUUGUGCCCAGGAGUCGAGACCUAUGAGACCUACGAUCUGACAUAUGGGACGAGUCAAUGGGGGUUUUGAAAACCCGGAAAAAGGCAAAAAAGGACAUGUUUUACAUUCAAGGCUGCCACGCCCCUGAAGACCAGAAAUGGCAGAGCCUCAACAAGGGAAAAGACCAUAAAGAUGGAGAGAAGUUCAAGAUUUCAUUUGAGGACGGCAGAGAGAAGUGCCCAUUUGACCCUGCCAAAGGAUAUACUGGCCUCAUCAUAGAUGUACACCGCCUCACAGUACAAAUUCCGAAGCUCUCCAGACAUCCAACGAAACUCACCCAGCCCCACAAUCAAACCGAGGAUGCGCCUUUGCACUGGCUAAUAGGUGAAAACUUUCAAAGAACAUAAAAUAUGCUUCAUCAUUAACAUGACUACUUUAAAAUUCAUUCAGAUAAUAACAAACUGCUUGAAUGUUCACUAUUGUACAAAAUUAUUUUUAUUUUGAACAUGAUUAUUUAUAUGCAUUGUUGAUGUAUUUAUAAUAAAUAUUUAUUUAUUAUAAAUGUUAUGGCA
rnacentral:lncRNA from 1 species